rnacentral:snoRNA from 1 species
UCCUAUGAUGAUAAAGGGCCAGUGGCCCGACCUUAUAACCCAGCUCGUCGAAUGCCUCGCCAUCAGCGCGGAGUGCAUACUGAGAUAUAAACCCCAUUCUGAACC